CGCGGCUCCUUGCAGCCCCGCCCUCUCGGGCUCAGGUGAUCCUCCCAUCUCCGCCUCCCGAGUAGGUGGGACUACAGUAGUGUAUCAGCACACCCGGCUAUUUUUUUUUUUUUUUUUUUUUGUAGAGACAGGGUUUCGCCAUGUUGCCUAGGCUGGUCUCCAACCUGGUCUCCUGGGCUCAAGCGAUCCGCCCGCCUCGGCCUCCCACAGUGCUGGGAUUCCAGGCGUGAGCUACCGCGCCCGGCCUAUUUACUUUUCUUACUAAGCUGGGGAUCACCGUCGCCCUCGGCUUGGCAGGAAGGCGGGGGUGCAAGAAGAAAAGAGGUACAGAACACCCAGAGGUGCCCUCGAUUCCGUCUUGCACUUGCCCUUCUCCCACCGUCCAGCAAUAAAGCGAGAGAAACAAGUGCAGGAAACUGGCCGGCAGUCAUGGGAGAAGCCAAAAAGACAGGUGAGCAGCGCGUCCGCCUCCCGCGCACAGGUGAGGGCUCACUUCUGCCUGUCGGCGGCGGCACACACAGGAAAGAGCCAAGCGCGUGCACGCGGGCCCGCCCCUAGGCCUUGCGGCGGCUUCAGCUCAGGCCCUUGCUCUUCCUGGGGCGGCCGCGCUCCGCGGCUUCCCGGGCUGGGCUGCUGUCGCCGCUGUCGGG
rnacentral:lncRNA from 10 species